AACACCACAGUCAUCCUAAACUACCUUCCCAAUCUCCAAAAUUUAGUUCCAUUUACUCUUUUUGAAUUGAAAAGUAUAAUGACAUAUAAGGACUAGUUUCAAGAUCUCUUUGCAGACUUCAAUCUAGCUUGAAGAAGAAUCUCUGUAGGCAAGAACAAUCAACUUGGCUAAGAUUUUCUUACAUAUGCAGGAAUCAAAUGGUUUUGUUCUCCAUUGUCAAAUUUGGACAAGAAUUUUGAUUGUGGCAAUAUCCUCUAAAUUAUAGAAACUACUUGAGGAAGGAAAGACACAAAUCAUUAUGCCAUGAACAGUCAAUUAACAUCAAUGAGUACACAUUUUGGCACAACACAUCAGAGGUGGUUGUAUUGAAUUUCUGAAAUGUUUACAUUGCAUCAUUACCAGUUAGGAAGAUAGUUGCAGCAGAAAUUCUACUAGAGAUAGUUGCAAGAUGCCCAAUGUAAUUUCUUUGCGUUUAUCUCUCACUUCUGGACUUCAAAUUGGCCGAAACAAAAGCAGAUCCACAUUAAUUGUCU